UAAAAAUAAAUAAAUAAAUGCAUUUUCAUCAUUUUCAAAAUUAAAAUCAGAAGGCUUUUAUUUUGGCGGGUUGCUGGCAAGUAAGUACUGUAUACACGCUUCCGGAUUAGCGCUGCUGCUGAUUAAAGAGCGUCAGUGAAUGAAUGUCACAGUUUUGCAUUGUGCUUUGAAUUUUUGUUGUUGUUCUUUGGUAACAAUGUAAAAGAUGUUCUUGCAUGCUGGAACAAACCAUUGGGAAACACUGAAAUUCUAAUAAAAGAAUGGUCUUCCUUGUACUUACAGGAAAAGGAACUUGCACAGAGACUGAAAUGGCAUAUAAGGCAGUCUUGACAGAUUGUCCACUAAACACCAUGACAGCUGCCUCCUCAUCCCCUGCUAGCAUGCAGACUCAUGAGAAACUAUUGGCUGUCAAUCAAAUGGAAUUUCUAAAUAGACAGGCAUAAGGGGAAUAUAUGUGGACUAUUGCAAUCACUGCAAGUACAGCUGAGCUGCCAAAAUGAUGGAAUCCAUAUGCACAGAGCAUGAAAAUCUACUACGAUUUGAUUCUUAUGUGCAAAGAGCAAACUGGGGGAUUUUUUGUCACCAUGCUAAAGGCACAUUGUCUGAACAUGCUCAGCACAUCCACGUCUUGUGGAUAAAUUAUGUGGAUGUCCAGAAAUCUGCAGUGACAUGUAAACCACCUGUAGCAAAGCCUAUAUUUAAUGCUGUCACAAACCGAGGGAAUGUGGUCUGAAGAAAGAUGAGGUGGGCUAACAUUUGACUUUAAGGCAUCUGAGAAAGUGUGCAAUGACCAUGACGUCAAACCAUUUGUGAAUGGGUAGAGACUUUGUGUUUGUUUGCAUUUUGCCAAGAACCGGGCCAUUGCAUUAUGCUGUUUUAAUAGAGCUAAUUAAACUGUCUUUUAAUGAUCAUCAGCUUCUGAUUUCUGCCAACAAGUGAUACGCAACAGCACCUCUCCAGUCGAUAUGUCUGUGUGAAGUAUAAUUGCAAAGUGUUUGUUACACUUGACAGGAGACCCACUUUAGCAAUAAUCUCAGUCGGUGUUAUUGAUCUGCACUCGGCAGGGGCUUGUGUUCCAUUGCAUGAACAGUGUGUGUGGCGGGCCGCUGCCAAAAGAGUGACCCCGUCUAUCACUCCAAUGAGAGGAAAGCUUAGUUCACACACAACACAUCUGGUGCCAACUCAUUUGGCUUGUAUCCCCCUGAAUAUGGGAGUAUUUCUUCUCA
ensembl:lncRNA